UGCCAUUGACACUGAAAAAUAGGGUGAAGGACAAGGGGACCUAUAGAGAAAAGGUGCCCUCGUGACCUCGGGGCAGAGAGAGCACCAAGCAGAAAGUCAUGGCUAACACGGAGCAGCAGUAAGUGAAUGAAAUUAACGUCAGUAAUUUGAAGAAAGGAUGAAGAAGAAAACCUUUGGGUUCGGCAAAGGGAAAUGGGGCAAGAGGUUCUGGGCAGAGAACACCUGGAGCGCUGGACCCUCUCGUAGGAGUCACAGUUUUUCCCCCACAUUAAGAGAUGGGUUAGACACCAUUCCCAGCCUGCUUACCUUUCUAAAUACGAGGAAGACUGGGUUAUUUUCCCCAAUUAGUAAUAGAAUUUGGGACCCGUUUAUCUGUGGUUCAGAUUUUACUCAGUUGGAAUUAGCAAUUCGGAGAGCACUGUAAUGACAGCAAGCUAUCUAUAACCAAGUGGUGUCAGUUAACUCCCUUGCUGACAGGCGUGCUCCCUGAUAGGCCAAAACCAUAACUAUCUUUCCAAAACAUAGACUGCCUUAAAUUCGUAUAUAAAUAUGAUUGUCCUAGAUCUGAAAAAUACAGUGAUGUUCUCUGUGCACAGGUCAUUUUGGUAGCCAUAGGGAUCCUUAACUUAUGAAUGCAGCUAUGGUUGUAGUGCCUCUUAAUAUUUGAGUUCAUUAUUACCUCUCAGGAACGGUUUUUAAAAAAAUUAUUUGUACUUAACUGUACUAAAGUAUAUCUUUUUAUUUUCUAUGUAUUGACAAGAGGUUUAAUUGCCAUCACUUAUUUAUCAGUAGCACUUUAAAAUAUUGUCAGCUUUGUAUGAGAAACUACUGCUUACAUUUUGAUUCUUCAUCUACAAAUAUUUAACGUCUACCUUGUACAUAGCCCUGUGCUAGAUAAUAGGAUACUAAGAAAGACAUACAGUUGUGCUAUCAAGGAUUGUACAGUUUAGUUAAGGAGACUGGAUCUAUGCAUGACAAAAAUAACUGAAAAACACAAUGGUGGGUUAAUGAGCAAAUGAAUAGUAUGUGCAGUAAAGGGUAUAGGCAUCCAGAGGAAAUAGUGAUAAUUAAGGACCAGAUUAUAGAGAGUAUUUCAUGCUGGUGAUACAACUGGGAAGAAUAUUCUGAACAGGGAGAAAUAGAGAAUGACACUAAGCAUGUGGAAGGCUGAUGGAAUGAGACUUAUAAUUUAUUCGGUAAUUAUUGAAUACCUCUACAGGAACAAACAAAACAAAAUAUAAGCCCCAUCUUUAAAGAACUUAAAAUCUAGUCAGAAAUAUAUAAAUUAAUAGGCAAUUAAAAUAUAGUAGAAAUGUGUAAUAAUGGGGAAGGUACAAGGUAUGGGAGAGUACAUAUGAGGGGCACUAAGUCUAAUCUUAAGGUAGGGAAGAUUGCCUUGAAUAACUGAUACCUAAGGCAAGAACUGAAAAAUUAGAAGUUUGUCAGUUAAAAAAGGAAUAGCAUGUGCAAAGGCCCGCAGGUCAGAGAGAGCAUGGAACUUUUGUAGAACUGCACAUAGUUUAGACUGUAGUGAGGCGUUCAAGAUAGGAAAUAGCAGAAGGUUAGGCUAGAGAAGCAAAUCCAGAUGAUUUUAUUAAUGUUUUUAAAGUAUUUUAUGAUUGAAAGUUUGUAACACAUGAUCUCUUGGGAAUGGUUUUUAUUCUAUAGUUCUCCAAUAAAGCAGAUGAAGUUAAGAUAAAAUUUGUAGGACUUUCUUAAGCUGGAAGAAUGAGGGGGAAGAGGGAAAAGGAAAAGUUGUUAGGAAUCUCAGUGGUGGCAAUAGCAAUACAUAUUUAGCUUUCUCUCUUUCCAAGAGCAUUAUCUCCAUGACUUCCUUCUUCCACUCUGUCCUUUACAUCUUACCAUUUCCUUUGGUUACCAUUUCCUCAGUGUGAAAAACAAGGGAAAGGUGUUACCUUUGUUUUCUCUUUCUUAAAGGCAUGGAACUCUUGCCAUCCUUUUUUAAAAUAUGGAUUUAACAGGGUAAGGAAGGAAUGAUUAUAAAGUUUUCAAAGUAGAAGCUGAGCUAACCUGAGGUACUUGCAAAUUCAUGACUUGUGAUUAAGAUUACAAAAUAAUUAUUAAAUAUAUACUUUUAGGAUAAUCAUUAGUAUAUAGCAUAAUAUUAGAGCUGAAAAGAACCUCAGAGCAGUGUUAUGAAACAAUAUUAGUGGGUUGGAUUAGCACUUUUUAGAUGAAAUUCAGUAGAAUAAAAAAGAAAAUAGCAGUGCUUUUUACAUCUUAAGUGUUGUUUCAUGCACUUUUAUGUGUGUGUACACACACACACAUACACACAUAUAUAUAAUCCCACAUGUAUGUGAUUACUGGAAUUCAUUGUAAAAUGUAUUUCUCACCUGGUAUAUGCUGGGCUGUGGAAUAUGGUAGUUCUUUUGGAUAGGUACUGUUUUGUUUUCAUUUAUUGGUUCUGACCUCAUGGACAAAGAAUGGGAGCUUUAAUUUCUUCCAGCAGCAAAUUCCAUCUUUCCACUCUUCCACCAUUGGCUGCUAAUAGUUAACCAAGAAGAUAAAAGUUAAAAUACUUUACUCCUGGCUUUCAUAUUAACUGAAGUGGGAAUAUAAUAAUAACAAUAGGCAAAUAAUCCUCCUACUCUACUUUUUAGAGGUUCUAGUUUAAAUUUCACAAUAUAAGAUGUAUAUGAAGAAACUAUAGUGAUUACUCAACAGAACCAAAAUGUACUAUAAGAAUAAAAAACAGAACUUAGAGGAGAAAUAAGGAUGUCUUUAAGUGGAUUAUGUCAUGGAACUGAAAAGGGUGAGAGGUGAUUUAAUGACACUUAAAGUACCUGAAGGGGCCUGGCACAGUUGCUCACACCUGUAAUCCCAGCACUUUGCGAGGCCGAGGCGGGUAGAUCACCUGAGGUCAAGAGUUCGAGACCUGACCAAUAUCACUAUAUGUACAAAGUACUGCUAUUUUUUUUUUUUUUUACGCUUAAGAUGUAAAAAGCUCUGCUAUUUUUUUUUUUUUAUAUUCUACUGAAUUUCAUCUAAAAAGUGCUAAUCCAACCCACUAAUAUUGUUUCAUAACACUGCUUUUAGGUUCCUUUCAGCUUUAAUAUUACACUAUAUACUAAUGAUUAUCCUAAGGUAUAAAUUCAAUAAUUAUUUUGUAAUACCAUACCGUCUCUACUAAACAUACAAAAAGUAGCUGGGCAUGGUGAUGUGCACCUAUAGUUCCAGCUACUCAGGAGGCUGAGACAGGAGAAUUGCUUGAACCCAGGAGGCAGAGGUUGCAGUGAGCUGAGAUUAUGCCACUGCACUGCAGCCUAGGUAACAAAGUGAGACUCCGUCUCAAAAAAUAAAAGUACCCGAAGGGGUUAUUUGUAGUUCAAUGAUGCCUAAACUUACUUGGAACAUUCGGUUAUUAUAUAAAGAUGUGGACUUCAUUUGCAAGAAGAGGGAUUUAAUGUGCAUAUGAGAAAUAAUUUCUUAAACUAAUAGUCUAUCUUAGUCUGUUUGGGCUGGCAUAACAAAAUACCAGAAGCUACAUGACUUAUAAACAAGAGCAGUUUAUUUCUCACAGAUUAAGGUGCUGACACAUUUAGUGUCUGGUGAGGUCUCGCUCCCCAUACAAGCCCUCAUUAGACACUUGGUUCAUAGGCAGUGGCUUUUAGCUGUGUCCUCACAUGGUAGAAGAGACAAGGCAGCUUUUUGGCCUCUCUUAUAAGGGGACUAAUUCUUUUUAUGAGAGCUCAAAUCUCCUGUCCUAAUCACCUCCCAAUGGCCACACCUUUUAAUACCAUCGCAUUGGUAAUUAAGUUUCAAUAUAGGAAUUUUGGGGGGACACAAACCUUAAAAGCAUAGCCUGUUUAUUAGGAGACCAAGAAAGACUUUAAAAAUUUUUAAACCAUAAUUUACUGUCAUUAGAAAAAUGUUAGCUAUUAGGAAGCAGCCAACUUGGUUUUGUGAAGAGCAAGACAUACCAAACCAAUUCUUCAUGUGAGUGAGUAACAGUCUAUCUUGAUUUCAGUAAGGCUUUUAAUUGUCCCCUACAUUGUUCUCACCCAGUAAGCUUGGAAGGAAUGAUAUUGAAUACUAUUAAGAGGGCUUGAGGUAGUAGUAAGCCUUACUGUAAAGAAAAUACAGAUGACUUAAAGGAUUUUUAUUUCUAAAUGUUAAAAAUAAUGAAUUAACUGUUAUACAAAGGGCGUAACAUGGUAUUGUGGAGUGAACACUGGACCAGGACACUUCAUCACCUGAGCUCUGCUUGUACUGUUAAUUAUCUUGGGCAGAUAACUUGUUCCUUUGGACAUCAGAUUCUGUAAACUAGUAAUAUUUCACUAGCAGAUCUCUAAGGUUUCUUGCAACUCUCUUGUUUCCUCACUGAAAUCCUUUAGGACCAACCCUUUGUAUAUAGUACCUCUACUUUGUGAUUGUAUUUAGGAGCAACAUAGAGUAAGUUUAAGUUCACAUGAAUUUUUUAUGGGACAAAUUUGUAUUGUUCUUGUCAUAUUUGUAUAUCUAAGAGUAGGAUUAGAAAAAUUGAAUUUAAUGAUGAGUUUAGUAUUUGCUAGUGUUGGGAAAAUGGAAGUACUGUGGUAGAAAAAGUAAGAUAGGUUCUGAAUUCAUCUAAGAAGGUAGAAAUAGAUUCUAAGGGGUGGUGAAGAACAGCAGCAAUGCUAUAAAAGUUGUAAAUAAAGAUACACCUUACCUGGGCUGUAUAUGAUAAGGAAUGGAAAUAUAAAGGUCUUAGUCAAAAGUGGCAGUGGGGCUUGAGAAGAGGAAUUCAGGUUAUUCCUUAUUCAGAAAUAGUUGAAUAAAUAACAUUCUCUAAGUUCUUGACACAUUAGUUUUAACUAGUUGUUAAAAUGAUUAGGAAGAGGAGAAAAUUUUGUAAGUGUUCUAAACUUUCUUUUAGAACAUGAGGCCCUUUGAGAAUCUGAUAAAAGCCAUAGACUUUCUUCCUAGAAAAAUACACAUACAUAUAUGCUUCAUUUUGCAUGCAAUUUCAGGGGAAUCAGAAACCUAUCCCCUCUUGCAGUGAGGAAUCCCUGAUAAAUACAAUAUUGCUGGCUGGUGGGUUUCUAAUGGGGUUUGUGAGUAGCCAGUGGAGAUAAAGAACCCUUGUCACUGGGCAGGGUGGUAGAAAUAGAAUGGAAACUUACAUCAAAAUUUUAAUAAAAUGAUAAAUACAGAAUUUAUUUAAUUAUUGUUAUACACUUAAUAUCAUUUAUUGUUAUAUUGUUAUUUUGCUUUAUCAAAGAAAACCAUGUUCUUUCCCAUAUUGUAAAAUAAGGUAUAUAAUAAGAGAUAAAAGUGCCCAUUCUGUAUACUAUUCUUAUGCUUUAUAUUUUCCCCAUUUUAAUUAUACAAAACCACAUGUAAUAAAACGUUAAGACAGGUAUCUACAGCCUCACAUGUUAAAUAAUUUUUUCUUUUUCCUUUGAAUCUCUGUUCUUAAAUGUACAUAAGUUUUGCAUUAUUGGGAUAAUUUUAAAUUCUAUUUCUUUUUACUUGUGAGCAUUUUUUCAUUGGUUGUCAAUCUUGACCAAAAUUAGGUCUUAAUACUUAAGAUUUUAGUAAUUUUAACAGGUAUACAUAGUUACCUGCAAAAGGUGAUAUUUUUGUUGUUUUGAUUUUCUCCUUCCUUUCCUAAAAUACAUCUCCCUGAAGUCUUCAUCUGUGCUCUCUUGACUCCCUUGUAGGAUUUGCCACUACUGAGUAAAGAUACUUUUCAAGUCUUUAUUUAAUGUCAUUUGGUCUUCACAGUAAUCCUGUGAGGUAGGUGAACAUUUCUUUGUGGUAGCAAUGGACUUUUCUGUCUUUUUCAGUCCUUUAACUUCUGCCCUAGUUUUAGGUCCUUAUUACGUAAUGCAUGGCUUUUCUCUCGGCUUUUAGGGACUUGCCCUUUCAUUUCAUCCUAUUCAGCACAUCUAGAUUAUUCUUCCUAAGGCAUAACUUUUAUCCCAUCACUUCCCUGCAUGAACGUCAGUGGGCUUUACAUCUUAGCCUUAAAAAUUUCCACCUAACUACGUUGUUAGCCAUAUUGUAAACUAUUUCUCUACAAAUACCCUGUCCCUCCAGUUAUCCUGUAUUGCUCCCCAUUCCUUGGACCAUGCGUUUUUUUUGUGUCUGAUUUUUCAUUUAUGCCAUACCCUAUGUCUGAAAUGCCCUCUCUCUAACUCCUGCCUGUUUUUCAAAUGUUAGAUCAAAGGUCAGUUCAUUCCCUUAAACCAUUCUUGAUAAGCUCAUAAGACUUUGUUUUCUCCCUCCUCUGAACUCUUACAACGCUUUUUCCUACAAGUAGUUAUGUAUCUUGCGGAGGAGAUAAGAUUUUAUAAGCCUAAAAGACUAAUAUAUUCCAGACAUCUUUUUGUUUUUAUCUUCCAUGUGUAGGCAAUCAGAAUCUUCUGAUUGUGAAAUGAAUGAUUAAGCCCUAUAACCUAACCAAAACAAAAGUCUAACAUAAUAAUUAAUAUUUGCUUCACUGCUAUACAUUUGGAAUUGAAAGCUAACUUUCUUCAAGGCAGCCUCAUAAGUUUGUCCAUUGCAUUUCUGUCAUUAGGCAUAUGGUACCGUGGUGGAGUAGCACCACUGAUUGUUGUCAGUUGUGGUUCAAUAACUAAAGCACACCUACUUUUGAUCCUAAAAUUUUCAAGUUACUUUAUUCUUGAGCAUCAUUUACUAAGAUAAAGUGACUUACAGGAUAAAAUUCUUUGAGGAAUAAGAUAUAAAAGUUUACUCUUUGUAGAAAUUUUAACUGCACACUGUAUUUUGACAUGUUCAUUAGAAUAAAGGAUAUUAGAGUAGGAAAAAACUGCAUCCUAAGGGUAUAGUUUCUUAGGUGCUGAUGUUUUGGGAGAGCAGCUUUUAAACUUACGCUUUUCAAAGCAUAUAGAAAAAGAGAAGGUGAGGCUUCAAUUUUGGUUUACUUAUCAAAUUGUUUUUACUGAUCUUGAGUAACUUAUACUAUAAGAUCAUUGUAAUAAUAUAUUCAUAUUUUUUAGUACAUGAAUAUUUGCUAAGUAUGAAUUCUUCCUUCAACUACUUUGACUAUAGUGUGCACUUAAAAACUUUGCGUGUGCACUUGUGCUUGCCUGCUACAGUUGCCAUAACACCACAGGUUGGGUGGCUUAUACAACAGAAAUGUAUUAUCUCACAAUUCUGGAACCCAUGAAGUCCAAAAUGAAGAUGUCAUUAGAGUUAUUUCUUCUGAGGCCUCUCUCCUUGUCUUAUAGAUGGCCAUCAAACUCUGUCUUCACAUGGUCUUUUCCUCUGUGUGUGUCUGUGUCCUGAUACCCUCUUCUUAGAAGUAUACUGGUCAUAUUGGAUUAAGGUCCACCCUAAUGACCUCAUUGAAUUUUAAUUACCUCUUUAAAGGCCCUGUCUCCAAAUAUAGUCACAUUCUGAAGUACUGGAGGUUAGGACUUCAACGUAUGAAUUUGUCGGGGCAAGGAGUACACAAUUGAAUUUUGCUUAGGAUUUCCUUGGCUAUUGGGAUUCUGUUUUGGUUCCAUAUGAAUUUUAAAAUAGUUGUUUCUAGCUCUGUGAACAAUGUCAGUGGGAGUUUAACAGGAAUAGCAUUGAAUCUAUAAAUUGCUUUGGGCAGUAUGGCCGUUUUAACUAUCCUAUCCAUGAUUCUUCUAUCCAUGAGCAUGAAAUGUUUUUCCAUUUGUUUGUGUCAUCUCUGAUUUCUUUGAGCAGUGUGUUGUAAUCCUCAUUGUAGAGACUUUUCACUUCCCUGGUUAGCUUUAUUCUUAGGCAUCAUAUUCUUUUUGUUGCUAUUGUGAAUGGGGUUAUAUUCUUGAUUUGACCCUCAGCGUGGACACCACUGGUGUAUAUAAAUGCUACUGAUUUUUUUACAUCUAUUUUGUAUCCUGAAACUUUGCUGAUGUUGUUUAUCAGAUAUAGCACUCCUUGGACAAGGACUAUGGGGUUUUCUAGGUGAUACCUAGAUGAUAUGAUGGCAUCAUAUUAUCUGUGAAGAGAGAGAGCUUGAUUUCCUCUCUUCCUAUUUGGAUGCCUUUUAUUUUUUUGUCUUGCCUGAUUGCUCUGGCUAGAACUUCCAGUAUUGUGUUGAAUAGGACUGGAGAGAGUGACAUCUUCAUCUUGUUCUGGUUCUCAAGGGGAAUGUUCUCAGCUUUUGCCAACUCAGUAUGCUGUUGCCUGUGGGUUUGUCUUAGAUGGCUCUCAUUACUUUGAGGUAUUUUGCUUCAAUGCCUAGUUAGUUUAUGAUUUUUUAACAUGAAGGGAUGUUGAACUCUGUCAAAAUUAUUUUGUGUGUUUAUUGAGAUGUUCAUUUGGUCUUUCUUUUUAGUUCUGUUUCUGGUGCUGAAUCACAUUUAUUGAUUUUCAUAUGGUGAACGAAACUUGCAUCUCAGGAAUAAAGCCUGCUUGGUCAUGGUGGAUUAGCUUUUUGUUGUGCCACUGAACUUGGUUUGCUAGUAUUUCAUUGAUGAUUUUUAAAUCUAUGUUGGUCGGAUAUAUUGGCCUGAAGUUUUCUUUUUUGUUGUUCUUGUAUCUCUGCCAGGUUUGGUAUCAGAAUGAUGUUGGCCUUACAGAAUGUGUUACACUAUUUUUUAAAUCGUUUGAAUGGGAUUGGUAACAGCUUUUCUGUAUACAUCUCGUGGAAUUUGGCUGUGAAUCUGUCUCUUCCAUGGCUUUUCCUGGUUGGUAGGCUUUUAUUACUGAUUCAAUUUAUGAACUCAUUUAUCUGUUGAGGGCUACACUUACUGGUUCAAUCUUGAGACGUUGUAUGUUUCUAGGAAUUUAUCCAUUUCUUCUGGGUUUUCUAGUUUGUGUGCAUACAGGUGU